rnacentral:lncRNA from 1 species
UGCUAAAAUUGAAGAAAAACUUAAUAAAAGAGUUUAACAUAAACAUCAAGAAGUUGAAAGAGAUUGGAAGAAGGAAAAAACUCAAUAAAUCUGGUCUGUAAACGUUUGAUGUAGCUUCCUCCUCUUGAUAGCCUAAAAAGAAGAGAAAGAAUCGAUCUCCCUUGCUUUCUAGCCUCCUUCGUCGAAAAGCCCCCUUUUUCUCCCCCCAUAAACUCCUUAUCCUUGCUUUCUUUCAAGCCAUCUUCACAAGGAAAGAAGAAAUCAAUCCCAAAUUUGCCUGUCAAUUCGGCAUAUUUUCAGCCUUGGAUUGUGGGCCAUUUUUCACUUGGAAAACGUGGGAAUUUCAAAAUCUCUAUUUCAGGGGAAAUUGUAGCACGUUAAAUUAGCUUUCCAAAGUCUCUUGAAUCAGCUUAAUAU